GACACUUUGUUGUCCAUCAAUGGAGAUGUGUCCUAUUUCCUCUUUGGCUUACCUUGCCAAAUCUGGUAUAUGAGACACCCAGUGAAGAUUCAGGAUGUAUCAGAUCAAAGCACAUGAUGGAGGAAGAUGGAGCAUAUCUUGGGAGACUUGGAGCAAUCCCUAUCAAGAUCUAGAUGAAGAAAAUGCUGGAUGAGAAACAGUGACAAGGGACUUUUGUUCUUCUCUGAAAUAAAGCUAAAAAUCUUCUAAAAC